GACGAACGCUGGCGGCGUGCCUAAUACAUGCAAGUCGAGCGAGUCUGCCUUGAAGAUCGGAGUGCUUGCACUCUGUGAAACAGGAUACAGGCUAGCGGCGGACGGGUGAGUAACACGUGGGUAACCUGCCCAAGAGAUCGGGAUAACACCUGGAAACAGAUGCUAAUACCGGAUAACAACAGAUGAUGCCUAUCAACUGUUUAAAAGAUGGUUCUGCUAUCACUCUUGGAUGGACCUGCGGUACAUUAGCUAGUUGGUAGGGUAACGGCCUACCAAGGCGAUGAUGCAUAGCCGAGUUGAGAGACUGAUCGGCCACAUUGGGACUGAGACACGGCCCAAACUCCUACGGGAGGCAGCAGUAGGGAAUCUUCCACAAUGGACGCAAGUCUGAUGGAGCAACGCCGCGUGAGUGAAGAAGGGUUUCGGCUCGUAAAGCUCUGUUGUUGGUGAAGAAGGACAGGGGUAGUAACUGACCUUUGUUUGACGGUAAUCAAUUAGAGAGUCACGGCUAACUACGUGCCAGCAGCCGCGGUAAUACGUAGGUGGCAAGCGUUGUCCGGAUUUAUUGGGCGUAAAGCGAGUGCAGGCGGCUCGAUAAGUCUGAUGUGAAAGCCUUCGGCUCAACCGGAGAAUUGCAUCAGAAACUGUCGAGCUUGAGUACAGAAGAGGAGAGUGGAACUCCAUGUGUAGCGGUGAAAUGCGUAGAUAUAUGGAAGAACACCGGUGGCGAAGGCGGCUCUCUGGUCUGUUACUGACGCUGAGGCUCGAAAGCAUGGGUAGCGAACAGG
rnacentral:rRNA from 1 species